ensembl:lncRNA
CAGAGAGUUGCUGUUCUCAGGCCAUGGAGUCCCAAAUUCCUGGGGGAGGGCUGAGACCUGCCCCCCCUACCCCCACCCCCGCUCUCCGUGCCUGGACCCCUUUAUAUACUAUAGAGGGAUCAGGAAAGCUAGGAGAGGAAUUUGGCCUUUGGGAGAGGAGAAUCAAGCCAGGGGAGGGGUGAGCUGGGGCAGCUGAGCUGUCCAAGACUUCCCUCCCUGUGUGUGAACCCACUCCGUGGGGUAGGACCCUCAGAUCACCUGGUGCUCCUGCGGAUUGGUGUGUGUGUCUCUGUGUGUGUGUGUUUAGAAACUUGGCUUUGGGAGAAUAUCUCUGGGCUUGUCUUCGCUCCCAGGCACAAAUACUGGAGAGCCCCUCUGAGUUCUGUGUCGAUCCCACGACCCUGGAGGACCCUGACCGCUGAAGCUGAUCAUGAGAGAAGACCACGGUCCCUUCAGGGCCGACCGUGAUGUAGGAUUCCACUGUGAAACCCAGCAGCGGCCUUGUAGGAGCACCCCUCCUUGGGCUAGUUUCCUUACCCAGCUCAGAGAGGAGGGGUGGGAGGAGAGAGUUGAGGGCAUCCAUCUCUCUUCAGGCUCGAGUGGGGUCCAUUCCAGAAGGCUAUUCCAACUUCUUUCUGCCAGUGUGACUACUGGUUUCUAAAGCCGGGGUUGAAGGGUGGAGGAUACAGGGAACAGAUCCUCCUCCCAGUCCUCCACUCCUCCCUUCUACUCAUGAGGCUGGAGGAGGGGAGGCGGAGCCAGGCCCCAACCCCAAAGGGUACAGAGCCUGUUGUUCUUCCAGACUUGGUCCACUUUGCUUGCGACUCAGAAGCCCUUUCACUACCCAGCAGGAUCACACUGUCUUGCCUCUUUCUGGUGUCUGCUUUUGUACGUGUAAGUGAUAUGUUGUCCUAUCUGUUAGUGCCUGUGCCAACCUCAGGGCUCCGUUCUUACUGUUCAUUCUGCCUGUGAUGUUCUGGCCCAAGAUCUUUGCACUAAUGCCUUCAACUCCAAUACCAUGUCAGAGAGGCUUCCCUGGGAAGUCAGUGUGGUUUCCAUAGUUAUGCUCUAUCGCAUCGCUCUAGCAGUGAUCACCUUCUUGAACCAUCUUGUUCAUAUAUUUACUUGUUUAUUGCUUGGGACCCCAUCUCCUCCUAAUGUAAACUCCACAACUGCCAAUACUUGUUUACUGCCACAUUCUAAGUCCCCAACACUAGUAAGAACUCAAUAAAUGCUUGUUGACUGAAUGGGUGUUUGUUUGUUAUUCUUAAAAAGUUCAGAGAGAGAAGUCAAAGGUGUCUACUGUGUUCAGCAGCAAGGAACCUUCUAGGGUGUGACUCUGUAGGGAGUCCUCUGUGAGAGUCCAUGGGAGGUGAGGACAGAAAUUGGGGAAGGAAGAUGCGACUCCCUCAACUCAGCCCCACCAGGAAGGGAGGCAGAGGAGGGGCCAUAGCAGGGGUGUUCCAUGAAGCCAGCUGACACCUGGCAUGUUGAAUGCUGCUGGGAAGGAGGCAGCGGAGUGGGUGUGAGGAGGAGGAGGAGAUAACUGGGGGAGUCAGGAACUGAGCAAACUCUGGGAGACAGGGAAGCCUAGCAUGCUGUAGUCCAUGGGGUUGCAGAGCCAGACACAACCUAGCGACUGAAUGACAGGACGUGAGGAGGCUGGCGAGAGGAAGCCAGGGCACAGGCGGGGGCAUCAGGCGCAGGAAGGGGUUCCUUCUCAUCAGAGAAAAGGAAGGAGAGCAUAGGUUCUGGCGGGUUUG